CCUACGGGAGGCAGCAGUGGGGGAUAUUGCACAAUGGGGGAAACCCUGAUGCAGCGACGCCGCGUGAGCGAAGAAGUAUUUCGGUAUGUAAAGCCCUAUCAGCAGGGAAGAAAAAAUGACGGUACCUGAGUAAGAAGCACCGGCUAAAUAAGUGCCAGCAGCCGCGGUAAUACGGAGGGUGCAAGCGUUAUCCGGGUUUACUGGGUGUAAAGGGAGCGCAGGCGGCACGGCAAGCCAUAUGUGAAAGCCCGCGGCCUAACCGCGGGACUGCAUUGGGAACUAUCGGGCUGGAGUGCCGGAGAGGUAGGCGGAAUUCCUAGUGUAGCGGUGAAAUGCGUAGAUAUUAGGAGGAACACCAGUGGCGAAGGCGGCUUACUGGACGGUGACUGACGCUGAGGCUCGAAAGCGUGGGGAGCGAACAGGAUUAGAUACCCCAGUAGUC
rnacentral:rRNA from 1 species